UGUUACCCAAGUAAUAAUAAGAUCGAUGAUUCGAUGCAACCUUUUAGUGACCAAUGUUUCAAUGUAAUUUAAUUCUUUUAACCUUAAUAUCUUAGAUUAAACUUGAGUCAUAGAAUGUCUCAUACUCUUCAUAAUUUAAUCUGAGUUUUUCUUGAUGAAUAAGUAGACUAUAUGAAACAAAUCACUAUUUGAGCAUGGCCAUGCAUUUCAUAGUCUUACUCACUCAAGAGGCCUUUGGAUAUCACCCCUAAUACAUAGGAGGGUUAAAUUUCAUCUAGAUCACUCAUAUUCCUCACACGAUUCAUGAUGUACCCAAUAAUCACCUUUAUAGUCCACCCUAUUAAAGGUGACAUUUGAUGAUAUCAAAGUACAUAAAUUCUCGUGUAGUAAUAUAGCGAUUUCAGGUCGGAGGACCAUUACAUCAUUGUCACUAUGAGAAUUGCUAAUGACAUUUCGCAUAAUGCUCCAUAUAGAAUUCUCAUGGUGGGUCUGUCCAGUACAUCGUUCUCUAACAUGUACCUAUGCAUUGACUUAAUAUCUCAUAUAUUUAUGACCAAUGAAAUUUGGUCAUCAGUCAAUCCACAUACUAGUCUCAAUGCAUCAUUGUUGGCUCAUCAACAAUGAUACUCGACUAGGGACAUUUAAGAACAAUAAUACUAAUUGUAAUUAUAUAAUCUCAUGUUCAAGUCACAUACUUGAAACUAUAUAACUUGUAUCAAUAUUCUAUGAAUUUUUAUUAUGUUAACAUUUAUAUAACGCAGUAAAUAAAAUCAUAAUAAAAUCAUUCAUUUAUUCAAUCAAAUAUAAUAUCAAAACGUUAAGUAAUUAUAUCAAAU
rnacentral:lncRNA from 1 species